UACGUAGGUGGCAAGCGUUGUCCGGAUUUAUUGGGUUUAAAGGGUGCGUAGGCGGUCCAUUAAGUCAGUUGUGAAAUACGGCAGCUUAACUGUCGAGGUGCAAUUGAUACUGCAGGGCUUGAGUACAGAUGAGGUAGGCGGAAUUGACGGUGUAGCGGUGAAAUGCAUAGAUAUCGUCAAGAACACCGAUAGCGAAGGCAGCUUACUGGGCUGUAACUGACGCUGAUGCACGAAAGUGUGGGGAUCAAACAGG
rnacentral:rRNA from 1 species